UACGAGGGGAGCUAGCGUUGUUCGGAAUUACUGGGCGUAAAGGGCGCGUAGGCGGUUCUAUAAGUCAGAUGUGAAAGCCCCGGGCUUAACCUGGGAGGUGCAUUUGAAACUGUAGGGCUAGAGAUCGAGAGAGGAAAGUGGAAUUACGAGUGUAGAGGUGAAAUUCGUAGAUAUUCGUAAGAACACCAGUGGCGAAGGCGACUUUCUGGCUCGAUACUGACGCUAAGGCGCGAAAGCGUGGGGAGCAAACAGG
rnacentral:rRNA from 1 species